rnacentral:rRNA from 1 species
AGAGUUUGAUCAUGGCUCAGAACGAACGCUGGCGGCGUGGAUAAGACAUGCAAGUCGAGCGAGAUUUUUUCCUGUAGCAAUACAGGGAAAAGUCUAGCGGCGAACGGGUGCUUAACACGUGGGCAACCUGCCGUGAAGUGGGGGAUAGCUCGCCGAAAGGCGAAUUAAUACCGCAUGUGAUUAGAGAGGACAUCCUUUCGAAAUUAAAGUCGGGGCAACCUGACGCUUUUUGGGGGGCCCGCGGCCUAUCAGCUAGUUGGUGAGGUAAUGGCUCACCAAGGCUUUGACGGGUAGCUGGUCUGAGAGGACGACCAGCCACACUGGGACUGAGACACGGCCCAGACACCUACGGGUGGCAGCAGUCGAGAAUUUUUGACAAUGGGGGAAACCCUGAUCGAGCGACGCCGCGUGGAGGAUGAAGGUCUUCGGAUUGUAAACUCCUGUCAUUGGGGAACAAUGCGUGACGGUUAACUGCCGUCGCGUUGAUAGUACCCGAAGAGGAAGAGACGGCUAACUCUGUGCCAGCAGCCGCGGUAAUACAGAGGUCUCAAGCGUUGUUCGGAUUCAUUGGGCGUAAAGGGUGCGUAGGCGGCGCGGUAAGUCGGGUGUGAAAUCUCGGAGCUUAACUCCGAAACUGCAUUCGAUACUGCCGUGCUUGAGGACUGGAGAGGAGACUGGAAUUUACGGUGUAGCGGUGAAAUGCGUAGAUAUCGUAAGGAAGACCAGUGGCGAAGGCGGGUCUCUGGACAGUUCCUGACGCUGAGGCACGAAGGUCAGGGGAGCAAACGGGAUUAGAUACCCCAGUAGUCC